rnacentral:pre_miRNA from 1 species
AGUGAGAUAGCUGGGUCAAAUAGUGGUUCCAUUCCUAGCUUUCUAAGAAAUCUCCAUACUGCUUUCCAAAUUGGCUGCACCUAUUUGCAGUCCCACCAGCAGU